rnacentral:lncRNA from 1 species
AGCAGACACCUCAAGUCCUGAGUGCAGGUCCCUGUUCAGAGGGAGAACGGAGAACAUGUCUGACGCCGAGGAAGAGGUGGUGGAGUACGAGGAGGAACAGGAAGAGCAAGAGGAGGCAGUGGAGGAGGAGGAUGGUGAGGCCGAGCCUGAUCCCGAGGGUGAGGCAGAGGCAGAGGAGGACAAGGCAGAAGAGGUUGGUCCUGAUGAAGAAGCCAGAGAUGCUGAAGAUGGUCCAGUAGAGGACUCCAAACCCAAGCCCAGCAGGCUCUUCAUGCCCAACUUGGUGCCACCCAAGAUCCCUGACGGAGAGAGAGUGGACUUUGAUGACAUCCACAGGAAGCGCAUGGAGAAGGACCUGAACGAGCUGCAGACUCUGAUCGAGGCUCACUUCGAGAACAGGAAGAAGGAGGAAGAGGAGCUCAUUUCUCUCAAAGACAGGAUCGAAAAGCGUCGGGCAGAGCGGGCUGAACAGCAGCGUAUUCGCAAUGAACGAGAGAAGGAAAGGCAGAACCGCCUGGCUGAAGAGAGGGCCCGGCGUGAGGAGGAGGAGAACAGGAGGAAGGCUGAAGAUGAGGCCCGGAAGAAGAAGGCUCUGUCCAACAUGAUGCAUUUUGGAGGGUACAUCCAGAAGACAGAGCGGAAGAGUGGGAAGAGACAGACAGAGCGAGAGAAGAAGAAGAAGAUUCUGGCAGAGAGGAGGAAGGUGCUGGCCAUCGACCACCUGAAUGAAGACCAGCUGAGAGAGAAGGCCAAGGAGCUAUGGCAGAGUAUCCACAACCUGGAGGCCGAGAAGUUCGACCUGCAGGAAAAGUUCAAGCAGCAGAAAUACGAAAUCAACGUUCUGCGAAACAGGAUCAACGACAACCAGAAAGUCUCCAAAACUCGUGGGAAGGCCAAAGUCACCGGGCGUUGGAAAUAGAUGGAACUGUGUUCGACAAAGCUCUGCUCCUUGCCUGUGCCCUUGCCCUGUGAAUCCCAGCUCUAGGUCUUGCCAGGCACCCGAUGCAGACUCCUGUCUGGAAAGUAG